rnacentral:tRNA from 1 species
AAAAAAAAGAAAAAAAGACAGGUGAUCUCGGGCGGGAUCGAACCGCCGACCUUCUGUGUGUUAGACAGAUGUGAUAACCACUACACCACGAGACCGCUGAAUAAGAG